CAGACCAACUCGAUCAGGAUCUAUUUUAUAGUAACUGACCGAGUCCCGCAAUUUCUCAAUUGCCACUUCUUCAAACCCAGUCGAUGAGACGACGCUUGCCGCCUUACACCGAGAACAUGUGCGCCAGAUUUUUUCUGGUCGUACUCGAGGACGUGCUGGCUCUUUGAGCCGGGGGCGCGCAGCGGAUAUCUGAUGGGU
rnacentral:snoRNA from 1 species